UGUCAAUAGUUAAAAAAAUUAAAAAAAAUUAUUGGGUUUCUCCUGAUGUCUAAUUUAUAUAUUGUGCUAGGGCCCGUAAAUUGUGGGGUCUCCAUCAAGUGAUUCUUCUUUAUAGUGUUCUUUACCAUCAGUAUAAAGCUUUUAUCACAUCUGUUAUAUUUACUUUUAUGUUUUAAGACACAUGUACUGUUGUCAGCUUGCAGCUGGAAAAUUGAAAUGAUCAAUUACAAUGAGUUGCAGAUCAACUAUGCGUUUUGAAAUGAUCAAUUAAAUGGCUACGUAUAUUGUAAUCUUAUGUAAUCAACUAUGUGUCUAAUUGCUAAUGUCAUUUGCAUGUGUGUCAUUUGAUCAUACAAGAUUCAUCAAGAUUUUCUACUUUUCAUGAAUUUGGAAUUGAUCAAUUGCCCUUGGUACUCCAUUUUAAUUAACCUUUAAUUUUACCCCCCGCAUCAUUGUUCUGAAUAAAGAAUUAAAGCUCGUUGUAGAAAUUAGAUAGUUGGCAUAAUUAAGGAAUAUAAUUGUCCGGCGUACGUAAGAGUUUCACCAUUUCAAAUUUGCUUUCCCGCUUUGAACUUGUGCUAAUGGGUUCUGAAUCAAUAUAGUUUUAAUUAACUGGUUACACACUUACACUCUGCUUGGUUCAUCAUAUGUGAUGACUUGUUUAGGGUUCAGCCACACUUUUGUAAAGGGUUUGUGUUUGGGUUUCACGUAAGCGUUUUUCACGCAUUUUCAAAAUACAUGUACUUAUUCGAGAAAACUCAGUGAGACUUGCAAGUGACUUGUGUUAAGGCUUCAACCACGUACGCAUUUGUAUUGAGUUUAUUUUUGGGUUUAACAUAAAUAUUUUGAUUCUAUUCACAAUACAUCUACUUAGUUGAGAAAAUUCAAAACUUACGAGUCAAUUUUUUUUUUUAAUUGUAGACAAGGUAUUUAAAAUGUUCACAGUAACUGAAAAAAUAAGUUUAAAUUGUUAGGUAAGGACCUGAUAUUAUUAUUAAAUAUGUAUAUAUAGUCUUCCUUGUGUGAAUCCAAAGAGAUCAAGACAUAAGUUCAAAAAUCGAUCAAGAAAUUAAUUAAUUAAUUAAUUGAGGUAAAACGAACACGGGAGAAAUUACAAGAUGUAUCUUGGAUAUAAUGAAAAUUUAUAUUACGUUAUCAGCACGAGUCCCUAGCCACAAGAAAUUAUAUGGUAAAUUCCCUUUUAUGAUCCUUUUGGACAGUAAUGUAUACAAAUGUAUGCAUUUUUCUCUUCUUAAUGUAUUUAACCAUCUAGAUAUUAUUUGAUCAUAUCUAAUAUUGUAUGCGCAUGACAUCUUGAUGUUCUAGCAUAAUGAAUUCAUAUCUUUAUUCACCAUUACUUUUAUUCUUAUGCAAUUGCCUGUUAACUUUAUUUUGUUACCAUUGAUAUUCUGGAGAAGUUAAUUUGAUUUGUAAUUUUUUAUAUUAAAUUUCACCCCUAAAGUGUGAAUAUUGUAAUAGAGAAUGAAAGAAAAUUAAGAAUGUAUUCUCGAAGGAUUGCAAUACAUAUAAUGAAGUUUUUCUUUCAAAACAUGACUAAAGAACUAUUGUAAAAUUAUGAUAUUAUUCACUAACAUCUUCUUCAUGAAGGAUUCUCUAUAUAUGUGUAUAUUUUACAUGUCCCCAAAGGACUAAAUAAAUAUUAUGAGUUCAUGUAUGUCAUACAAAUUUACUUCUUCAUAUCUCCCGAAAGGAGUUACAAAAUAAAUAUAAAUAAGGCCUAAUUGUUUGUAUGAAAAAAAUUUGAAGGAAAAGUAACACAAUAUGUGGAAAUUUUCAAGGAUAGAAUUAGAGAUGGUGAUUUAUUUUCUCUCUUUAAAGGAGAUGAACAUAUAAUAUAUACAUAUUUUACUCUUAAUUACAUAAUUGCUAAUUAUUUUUAUUUAUUAUUUUUAAUUAAUUAAAUUAUUUUAUUAAAUAAGAAAUUAAUUGGAGAUUAUGAAUAAAAAGAGUAUGAAGAAGUUUAAUUUGAGAAGCAAUAAAGAAGACAAAAAUGCAGCCAAAAAUUAAUGGAAGUCAAGAAAACCAAAAUUUGAAGUCAAUCUCUUCAAAUAAUGAACGGUGGGCAUGCAUUUAGAAAGCAAAUAUUUGGCAAUUUGUAAUGCAUGUGCCAUUGUGCCAGGCUCUAAAAGAAGAAAUUAUUAAUCGACCUUUUUGCUUUUAAGUCAAACGAGUGGCUAGCUUUCCUUUCAAACCUUAAUAAGGAAACAAUUUUAAAAGGGCUUGGUGAGUGGGCUUUGUUAAGUCGAUGGAUGGCCUUAACUUAUGAUAGGUUGUGAAGAAUUAAUGCAAUUAGAAUCCGACAAGGAUUAAGCAAGUUAGUAACAUUAUAUAAAGGCAACACAUAGCCACAAAAAUAGCCACCAGAGGAUUCAUUAGAGAAGAAAAUGUCAGCAAUUUAAUUCUCCAUGGCUCAUUUUAUUUCUUUUGUUGCUCCCAAUUCAAGUAUGUCUAGCUAAUUUUUUUAUAUUGGGGUUAAAGAUGAAAUAAUAUUUAAUAAAAUAAUUAUCUUUUUAUUUUAUUAAUUUCCUAUAUAUGUGCUUUAAUAUUUAUGGUUCUUGUUUUAUAUGAUUAGUUAGAUGUUAUUAAAUUAUUUUCACCAAUUUUAUCGUGCAUUAUUGAUUGUUAAGAUUAAUAUUUGACUAAAUUUAUGCUUGGAUCUAUGAAACUGAUAUAUGAUUAUCUUUAAUUCUGUGUCUUUCAUUAAAUUAUUUACACAGAAUGCUAAGGAAAACUUUGACUCUUUGUUAUUCAAUAUGCUUACAUGGGAUGCUUAGAUAUCAUACUAUUAAGCAAAAAAAGAACCUACAUUAGAUUUAAUUACUUGGGCUUAAUUGUUAUAUCCAUGAGAUGACAUAGAUUGAUUUCAAGUUAUCACUAUAAAAUUGGGGAUUAAUUAACAAUUAGAUAAUUACUAGUUAAACAGUGAUAGAUUUUGAAACCUUGGUAAUUUUUGUCUUAUUGACUUCUCCUUUGUUUUAAUUCUUUUCUUAGUUUAAUUAGUUUAAUUUUCUUAGAAACUCAAUUUGCUCAACUAGGCUAGGAUUAAUAUUAAUUUUAGAUUUAAAUUAGACUUUCAAUUUAUAGCAAUCCUUGUGGGUUCGACCUCGUUACCAUUAUUCUAUUUCUAGAUUCGUGCGCUUGCGAGUAUAUUAAAAUUUUUUACAACAAAAAUUGAAUGUCCAAAUGGCUAAUUUGUUUCUUUGAAACAAUUUAAAGGAAAUAUGCAAGCAUCGAAAAAUCGAACACAGGAUCAUAUAUGACUUUCUUGCUUUUAUAUGCAUAUAAAGAGAAAAUCAUCAAGAAUAUAUAUAAAGAGAAUAUGUGACAUGUAUAAAUAUUUUUUAGCUCAUUUAUGCUCCUGCAGUAGCAAACUGAAGUCAUUAUUUCUCUUUAUAUAUGAACAUAAUAUUAAGUUUUUGAUGUAAAUAAUUGCUCUCAUCUUACUAGUGAUAUGUUUUCAUUCCUUGAAGCGAAUGUUUAUUUGAUAAUUGCGAGAUUAGUGCUAGAUAUGCCAUGACUAAAGUUUUCGACAUUACAAUGAUCUCCAUUUAAGUAUCAAUGACUGUAAUCGGUAUUGUCGUUAGGGUGCCCCAAAUUUAAAACUUUACUAAUGAUAUAAACAAUUAGUAUAGAGUGAGUAAGGAUCGAUCCCACAAAGUUUAUGCUAAUUGUAUUUAUUAUCAACUCUAAAACAAAGACUUUAAUAAUAAUAAUAAUAUAAAUUAAUCCAACUAAAGAAAAUGCCAACUACAAAUAAAAGGGGGGUUUUAUGAAAUUUUAAUUAAAUAGCAUUAACAAAGAGAGAUUGCCAGCUUCUCUCUUAUUGAAACAAUAUAUACCACUUAUCCCCUUAUUAUUUUCAUAAUAAUUAAUAAUCACUAUGACAAUAUAAUUUUACAGUAUUACCCCU
rnacentral:lncRNA from 1 species